ACGUCGCUUGCCCCCAGCUGUGGAAGAAAAUGAUAUACAUUACAUCGCAGGAGCCAUAUAUAAUAAGUUGUUGAAAAAAAAAAGCAUAUGUGAAAAUUGUAAAACAGCUAUGACCAUUUCAGAGGACAUGCUGGAACCUGACAUACCCGAGCAUCGCACAAUUCUUACAAAACACAGCAAUAAAGGUGGACUGAAGGUCAUCUCUUCAGGAAUGUAUCGAAUGUGUAGGGAAGCUGAACGAGAAUUUCAAAAAUGUAAAGAUGUACUCCUUCGUUUACAAUCAGCCAUCACGAAAGAAUAAUUGAUAAAUGUACGCAUGUGGCCAUGCCAGAAUGCUGUAAUCUUAAGAAAGUAAUUAUUGAUAAUUUUUUUGUUACUAGAUGCAAAGGCCUUACACAGCAUCUUAUCAACAAAAGAGCCCAUAACGUUUCAUAUUCAUCAGCAUCGGCCAAUAAGAAACAAAAAGUAAAAUAAUUUUAGAAGGCACUUGUGGAUCAUGUCAGACAACAUGCAAUAGA